CACCAAGGAGGGUUUGGAAAGCCCUGCUUUAAGGCACUGUAGCCAUAGUCAGAAAACAUAGUUUAAAAUGUGUGAGUCCAUCUAUAGCAAGCCAGAUAUGACCAAUACGGUUUGACAGAGGAACGGAUAUCACCCUGACCAUCGAUGCCGAGGCUGCUGGAGCCACAGACUUGAACAACACAUACCUGCGUCUCUCCAUUGUAAGCAAGGAGACAGGUUUUACCACUCCCCAGAACGGGCUUCCAGGCGUCUCCUCCAAGUUACCAGGGUUCUGGUCUAGAAGCACAAUUACGAUUGCUAAUACAGUUUUGUUUCUGUACUGCAGUAUAAGGGACGCUUGGCCCAGAAAGACCAUUUCCAUACACGGCCACAUAGAGAAGUCAUAUUUGAAAAUGUGUAAUAAGUCACUUUAGUCAUCACCUACGUGAAAAAAAUAUCCAUUGAAUUUUUCAAAUAAUUGUCGCUGAGGCCGAUAAAAUGUGUAUAUUUUAUAUUCAUCCAAUGUCUGCCAUGUUUUAGGAUGACAUAAUGACGACAUCACUGCUCACGAUGCUCCCUGUGUGAACUGAGUGCUAGUGUGCAUGUGAUGUUGGGCUGAGUAAACCAGAUGCAUCCUGGAUAUACACAGGAUUACCUUGAUAACAACGGGCAGACACACUGGACGCAGACUCCAGUUCUAAUUAGAAGGACCGAGCACGCCCCCAUUCUCAUCGACGGGGCUGUAGUGGAGCAGGCUGAGAGCUUCAAGUUCCUUGGGGUCCACAUCACCAACAAACUAACUGGUCCAAGCACAACAAGACAGUCAUGAAGAGGGCAUGACAAAACCUAUUCCCUUUCAGGAGACUGAAAAGAUUUGGCAUGGGUCCUCAGAUCCUCAAAGGUUUUACAGCUGCACCAUCGCAAGCAUCCUGACGGGUUGCAUCACUGCCUGGAAUGGCAACUGCUCUGCCUCCAAGGCACUACAGAGGGUAGUGCGAAAGGCCCAGUACAUUACCGGGGCCAAGCUUCCUGCCAUCCAGUACCAACAACAACGAGAUGGCCUACAGGGAGGAGGUGAGGGCCCUCGGAGUGUGGUUUCAGGAAAAUAACCUCACACUCAAUGUCAACAAAACAAAGAAGAUGAUUGUGGACUUCAUGAAACAGCAGAGGGAGCAGCCCCCUAUUCACGAUGGGACAGUAGUGGAGACGGUGGAAAGUUUAAAGUUCCUCGGCGUACACAUCAUGGACAAACUGAAAUGGUCCACCCACACAGACAGCGUGGGUCAUCUGUACCUGUAGUUAGUUCUACAUCCACCCAGGUCUCUGUCACCAACACUACAGCUGUACUUGUAGUAAGUACUACAUCCACCCAGGUCUAUGUCACCAACACUACAGCUGUACCUGUAGUUAGUACUAUAUCCACCCAGGUCUCUGUCACCAACACUACAGCUGUACUUGUAGUAAGUACUACAUCCACCCAGGUCUCUGUCACCAACACUACAGCUGUACCUGUAGUUAGUACUACAUCCACCCAGGUCUCUGUCACCAACACUAUAUCUGUACCUGUAGUUAGUACUACAUCCACCCAGGUCUCUGUCACCAACACUGCAAUUUUAUAAUAGUUCAUGUAGGUAUGUAUGUAUGUAAUAUGAUAUAAUGUAGUAUAUUAUCAAACUAAGUCAUAUCAUGUAGUAUAUAUUCAAACUAAGACUGGUGUGAGUCAUAUCAUGUAGUAUAUAUUCAAACUAAGACUGGUGUGAGUCAUAUCAUGUUGUAUAUAUUCAAAACUAAGACUGGUGUGAGUCAUAUCAUGUAGUAUAUAUUCAAACUAAGACUGGUGUGAGUCAUAUCAUGUCGUAUAUAUUCAAACUAAGACUGGUGUGAGUCAUAUCAUGUCGUAUAUUAUUAAACUAAGACUGGUGUGAGUCAUAUCAUGUAGUAUAUAUUCAAACUAAGACUGGUGUGAGUCAUAUCAUGUAGUAUAUAUUCAAACUAAGACUGGUGUGAGUCAUAUCAUGUAGUAUAUAUUCAAACUAAGACUGGUGUGAGUCAUAUCAUGUAGUAUAUAUUCAAACUAAGACUGGUGUGAGUCAUAUCAUGUAGUAUAUAUUCAAAACUAAGACUGGUGUGAGUCAUAUCAUGUAGUAUAUAUUCAAACUAAGACUGGUGUGAGUCAUAUCAUGUCGUAUAUUAUUAAACUAAGACUGGUGUGAGUCAUAUCAUGUAGUAUAUUAUUAAACUAAGAAUGGUGUGAGUCAUAUCAUGUAGUAUAUAUUCAAACUAAGACUGGUGUGAGUCAUAUCAUGUAGUAUAUUAUUAAACUAAGACUGGUGU